rnacentral:rRNA from 1 species
AUUGAACGCUGGCGGCAGGCCUAACACAUGCAAGUCGAACGAGUGGCGGACGGGUGAGUAAUGUCUGGGAAACUGCCCGAUGGAGGGGGAUAACUACUGGAAACGGUAGCUAAUACCGCAUCCCAGCAGAUGUGCCCAGAUGGGUAUAGCUAGUAGGGGGGGUAAUGGCUCACCUAGGCGACGAUCCCUCGCUGGUCUGAGAGGAUGACCAGCAACACUGGAACUGAGACACGGUCCAGACUCCUACGGGAGGCAGCAGGGGGGAAUAUUGCACAAUGGGCGCAAGCCUGAUGCAGCCAUGCCGCGUGUGUGAAGAAGGCCUUCGGGUUGUAAAGCACUUUCAGCGGGGAGGCGUUACCCGCAGAAGAAGCACCGGCUAACUCCGUGCCAGCAGCCGCGGUAAUAC